GAAAAAUGUCUUUGGUCCAUAAAACAAUAGUCUUCUAAAUAAGACGAGUCAUAAAAGCAUCAAAAGUUACAUAAAGUAUCAAAAAGGAAAAUCUUUUACAAAAAGAAAGAUAUGAGACAGUUUAGUGAACACUUCAUAUUACAUAUCAACAGUAAGAAUAAAAAACUAAUAUAAAAACAAAACAAAGAAAAAAUAAUAUAUAUCAGCUCAAAACCUUUUAUAGACAUAGUGGAAUGAUAUAGUUAUAAACUUAUGAACACUGUUUCACUAAAUUAUGUGUACACAAGGAAGACAAAAUUACUUCAAGCAUCUUACUUUAACAAAAAUAAAAUUCUUCAAGACACAAUUCAAACAAUAAAAAACAGUGUAUAUUAAUGAGAAACUUAACAGCUUUCAGAAAAUUUGAGCAAUAUCACAUGAUAUAUAACAACAAGCAUAACAUUG
rnacentral:lncRNA from 1 species